rnacentral:rRNA from 1 species
GACGAACGCUGGCGGCGUGCUUAACACAUGCAAGUCGAACGGUAAGGCCCUGCUUUUGUGUGGUGCUCGAGUGGCGAACGGGUGAGUAACACGUGAGUAACCUGCCCUUGACUUUGGGAUAUCUUCAGGAAACUGGGGCUAAUACCGGAUAGGUGCUCCUGCUGCAUGGUGGGGGUUGGAAAGUUUCGGCGGUGGGGGAUGGACUCGCGGCUUAUCAGCUUGUUGGUGGGGUAGUGGCUUAGCAAGGCAUUGAUGGGUAGCCGGCCUGAGAGGGUGACCGGCCACAUUGGGACUGUGAUACGGCCCGGAGUCGUACGGGAUGCAGCAGAGUGGAAUAUUGCAUAAUGGACGGAAGCCGGGUGAAGCACCGCCGCGCGCGGGAUGACGGCCUUCGGUUUUUAAGCGGUUUUCGCCUGUGACGAAGCGUGAGUGACGGUAAUGUGUAAAGAAGCACCGGCUAACUACGUG